GCCCUUGGGGGCUACACAUUGCCGCUCAAGUUUACAUAGUCAGAUCUACAAAGUCCCUGCUCAAUAUUACAUAAUGACCCAGCCCUUGGGGGCUACAUCAUAUGAUGUUUUAUUUUCAAAGAAGAACAAUGUGGAAGUCCCGAGUCGCCGCAAGCAAUCGACCCGUCACUUGGGGGCUAUAUUAUUCAGAUCAUAAUUUCUAAAGUCCCAGGUUGCCGCAUGCAAGACAACCCGACACUUGGGGGCUACAACACUAAGUUGUUUCACGGAUCAUGAGGUUCAAAUUGAAGACCCGGCCCAUCACACAUUGAUGACCUGGCCCUUGG
rnacentral:lncRNA from 1 species